rnacentral:rRNA from 1 species
GAGCACUGUUUCGGCAAGGGGGUCAUCCCGACUUACCAACCCGAUGCAAACUGCGAAUACCGGAGAAUGUUAUCACGGGAGACACACGGCGGGUGCUAACGUCCGUCGUGAAGAGGGAAACAACCCAGACCGCCAGCUAAGGUCCCAAAGUCAUGGUUAAGUGGGAAACGAUGUGGGAAGGCCCAGACAGCCAGGAUGUUGGCUUAGAAGCAGCCAUCAUUUAAAGAAAGCGUAAUAGCUCACUGGUCGAGUCGGCCUGCGCGGAAGAUGUAACGGGGCUAAACCAUGCACCGAAGCUGCGGCAGCGACACUAUGUGUUGUUGGGUAGGGGAGCGUUCUGUAAGCCUGUGAAGGUGUGCUGUGAGGCACGCUGGAGGUAUCAGAAGUGCGAAUGCUGACAUAAGUAACGAUAAAGCGGGUGAAAAGCCCGCUCGCCGGAAGACCAAGGGUUCCUGUCCAACGUUAAUCGGGGCAGGGUGAGUCGACCCCUAAGGCGAGGCCGAAAGGCGUAGUCGAUGGGAAACAGGUUAAUAUUCCUGUACUUGGUGUUACUGCGAAGGGGGGACGGAGAAGGCUAUGUUGGCCGGGCGACGGUUGUCCCGGUUUAAGCGUGUAGGCUGGUUUUCCAGGCAAAUCCGGAAAAUCAAGGCUGAGGCGUGAUGACGAGGCACUACGGUGCUGAAGCAACAAAUGCCCUGCUUCCAGGAAAAGCCUCUAAGCAUCAGGUAACAUCAAAUCGUACCCCAAACCGACACAGGUGGUCAGGUAGAGAAUACCAAGGCGCUUGAGAGAACUCGGGUGAAGGAACUAGGCAAAAUGGUGCCGUAACUUCGGGAGAAGGCACGCUGAUAUGUAGGUGAAGUCCCUCGCGGAUGGAGCUGAAAUCAGUCGAAGAUACCAGCUGGCUGCAACUGUUUAUUAAAAACACAGCACUGUGCAAACACGAAAGUGGACGUAUACGGUGUGACGCCUGCCCGGUGCCGGAAGGUUAAUUGAUGGGGUCAGCGCAAGCGAAGCUCUUGAUCGAAGCCCCGGUAAACGGCGGCCGUAACUAUAACGGUCCUAAGGUAGCGAAAUUCCUUGUCGGGUAAGUUCCGACCUGCACGAAUGGCGUAAUGAUGGCCAGGCUGUCUCCACCCGAGACUCAGUGAAAUUGAACUCGCUGUGAAGAUGCAGUGUACCCGCGGCAAGACGGAAAGACCCCGUGAACCUUUACUAUAGCUUGACACUGAACAUUGAGCCUUGAUGUGUAGGAUAGGUGGGAGGCUUUGAAGUGUGGACGCCAGUCUGCAUGGAGCCGACCUUGAAAUACCACCCUUUAAUGUUUGAUGUUCUAACGUGGACCCGUAAUCCGGGUUGCGGACAGUGUCUGGUGGGUAGUUUGACUGGGGCGGUCUCCUCCUAAAGAGUAACGGAGGAGCACGAAGGUUGGCUAAUCCUGGUCGGACAUCAGGAGGUUAGUGCAAUGGCAUAAGCCAGCUUGACUGCGAGCGUGACGGCGCGAGCAGGUGCGAAAGCAGGUCAUAGUGAUCCGGUGGUUCUGAAUGGAAGGGCCAUCGCUCAACGGAUAAAAGGUACUCCGGGGAUAACAGGCUGAUACCGCCCAAGAGUUCAUAUCGACGGCGGUGUUUGGCACCUCGAUGUCGGCUCAUCACAUCCUGGGGCUGAAGUAGGUCCCAAGGGUAUGGCUGUUCGCCAUUUAAAGUGGUACGCGAGCUGGGUUUAGAACGUCGUGAGACAGUUCGGUCCCUAUCUGCCGUGGGCGCUGGAGAACUGAGGGGGGCUGCUCCUAGUACGAGAGGACCGGAGUGGACGCAUCACUGGUGUUCGGGUUGUCAUGCCAAUGGCACUGCCCGGUAGCUAAAUGCGGAAGAGAUAAGUGCUGAAAGCAUCUAAGCACGAAACUUGCCCCGAGAUGAGU